AUGUGGAGUCUGUCCAGCUGCCCUUCAAAACCAGAGUUAACCUGUCUGAAGAGGAUAAAGUGGAGUGGAAGGACAGAAACAUCAGGAAGGUCCAUGUGUAUCCAGAAGUGUCUGACCAUCCUGAAGAACAAGACCAGGUUUACAGAGACUGGACAGAUGAAUGAAGACCUGCUGAAAACUGGAGACCUCAGUCUGACCCUGAAAUACCCCACAGACUGGGACACAAACACCUACACCUGCACCAUCUACAGCAGUUCCUGUAUGCUAAAGAAGAAACAAGAAGUGAAACUUGAAGUCAGAGGUUCAGGCCUCUUGGGAUGAAGCUGCUGAGGCUUUGAGGACAUGUUCUCCAAAUCUUCAGCUACGUUGUUGACAUGCCACCAUCCGCCCAGGGCUCUCCUUCUCCAUGUGGCUGAAUCUGCUUCCGUGAGCCGCUCCUUAAGUCGGCUUUGCGACACGGGCACUUUUGGUGUGACUGAUAGUUUUCCAAUAGGAUCGUACUGAUAUCAGUGUGACUCUGAAAAACCCCACACAGGGAAACAUUGGGAAAGACACGUUACGUCUGGAGAAAGGGAGACAUAAUCAGAUCGAAAACAGUGAUGUUCAAAGUAACAGU
rnacentral:lncRNA from 1 species